AAUUGUCACUGGAUCAAAAGCAUAAAAAUCAGCGGCUUGAAAUAAUAGUCGGAACAGAGCUGAGCAAGUCCGGAAGCAGCAGAGACUAACUCCUGUAAGUGAGGAUGGGAGAAGCGAAUCGAGACGCUUGAUGAGCGGAGUUUACAAGUGGACAAAGUGGACUGAGAUUGAGCUGCAGGAUACAAUUAUUUCUCAGAAUGGAGGAUCUCACAAAACAGCUGGAUAGAAGAAUAAUGGAAAUGACACAUUCAGAAGAGUCCAGCUUCUACAAUAGAAACUGAUGCUGAUUUUAGAUGUUCAACAUGACAGGCCAUAUUUAUCAUCAGAAUUUACUGAUAUGAUGUCACAUUUGUUACUGAAUUGGGACUGCCUGCUGAGAAUUAUCUAAGGGAAAAAAAAUAGAUUAAGGACAGAGUGUCGGUUAAAUCUGCAUUUUUAGUAAUUUCAGUUCUGAACUUGAAGGCAACAAAGUGGCAUGAAGGAGUAUGUGAACACCAAAUUCGAACACAGACCAGCAUGAUGGGCCAAGCAGCCUCUGUGCUGAAUCAUUCUAUGAUUCUAUGAUAACUUUUCCUCACAAAAGUAUGUUCAAAGUUAAAAGAAAUUAGUUACAUUACGUUGAGACAGAUUUUACAAGUUAAGUAAAACUGCUGAAAUUUUUAUUUUUAGUGAACAAGCUUCUGCUAAUUUUGAAAUUUCCUAACUGACCCUUCACCCUUCACCUUUUCAUUCCUUCUGUGAGACUUUCCUUAAAAUCCACCUGUUCACUUGGCAUCAAUUUAUUUCUCUGUGAAGUGCCUUGAAACAACUUUAAAUGUUAAAUGCAAGUAUUUGUUGGUGUUCAUAUUUCAGGAUAAACAUGAUUGAUUGUUUUCAGAAACUGAGAUUUUAGACUUCUUGUGAUCUACCCAUUAAUCAGAAGAGUCCAGAGUUAUUAUUUGUAGUGGACUUAACAUUAAUAUUUCCCUAAUUA